AGAGUUGAUCCUGGCUCAGAUUGAACGCUGGCGGCAUGCCUAACACAUGCAAGUCGAACGAGUAGCCGGCUUCGGCCGGUGAGAGUGGCGGACGGGUGAGUAACGCGUGGGAAUCUGCCCAGUAGUGGGGGACAACCCGGGGAAACUCGGGCUAAUACCGCAUACGCCCUACGGGGGAAAGCGGGGGACCGCGAGGCCUCGCGCUAUUGGAUGAGCCCGCGUCCGAUUAGCUAGUUGGUGGGGUAAAGGCCCACCAAGGCGACGAUCGGUAGCUGGUCUGAGAGGACGAUCAGCCACACUGGGACUGAGACACGGCCUAGACUCCUACGGGAGGCAGCAGUGGGGAAUUUUAGACAAUGGGGGCAACCCUGAUCCAGCCAUUCCGCGUGAGUGAAGAAGGCCUUCGGGUUGUAAAGCUCUUUCAGUUGGAACGAAACGGUACGCUCUAACAUAGCGUGCUAAUGACGGUACCUGCAGAAGAAGCACCGGCUAACUGCGUGCCAGCAGCCGCGGUAAUACGUAGGGUGCGAGCGUUAAUCGGAAUUACUGGGCGUAAAGCGUGCGCAGGCGGAUUGUUAAGCAAGACGUGAAAUCCCCGGGCUUAACCUGGGAAUGGCGUUUUGAACUGGCAGUCUAGAGUGUGUCAGAGGGGGGUGGAAUUCCACGUGUAGCAGUGAAAUGCGUAGAGAUGUGGAGGAACACCAAUGGCGAAGGCAGCCCCCUGGGAUAACACUGACGCUCAUGUACGAAAGCGUGGGUAGCAAACAGGAUUAGAUACCCUGGUAGUCCACGCCCUAAACGAUGUCAACUGGUUGUUGGGGGAGUGAAAUCCCUUAGUAACGAAGCUAACGCGUGAAGUUGACCGCCUGGGGAGUACGGUCGCAAGAUUAAAACUCAAAGGAAUUGACGG
rnacentral:rRNA from 1 species